ACUAUUUUUAUCAGGUUCCUUAAAUCCCUACAUUUCCUUCUUCUCUCUCCGAUUCAAACAUUUAAACCCUAAUCCGUACGAGUCGUCACCACCGUUCACUACAAACACCAUCGUCUCACCUUUCACCGCAUCUACAAUUCCCAUAACUCGAUUUCAAGACUUGCAAGUUGAUUUCCAAUCAGCCUUUUGCAACUUAAUCUCCAAUCGGUCUUCUAUAACUCGAUUUUAGUUCAUCAGUUGUCUUUGGAGAUUGUAGACAUGCAUAUUGAUUUCAAUUUUGAAGGUAUGGUCUCGAUUUUGCUUGAAUGUUUGUAUCAUGAUAAAGGUUGAUGAUGGAGGAUCUGUCGAUGUUGGUUUCUUGGUGACGAAGGGUGAAGGUUGUCGGCAUGUCAAGAUGAUAGUGAUGGGUACGAUUAGGGCUUCCUUUACCUUUCAUGUGUUCAUCGUCAACGAUGCACAACUAUUAGACAGAGGGCACGAGGAAUCAGAGAGAUAUCAGAGAAAGUUUUGAGUUGACUAUAAGGGUUCUGAGAGUUCUUCAGAUUUCAUGUUCUAGGAUUCAAGCACACUAAAUUCUAUAUUUUGUCGCCUUACAUGAUGCUGCCAACAUGAUGUAAACCAGUGAAAAAAGAGAUUAUGAUAGUGAAUAGGUGCGUGUGUGAAGCAGGAGGAGGAAUGAACAUUGAUAGAGAUAAAGAUAAGGAAUACCAUAUUCAUUUUUAUAAUCUAGUGAUUUUUGUGUUAGGUCCAUUGAGAAGACAUAAGGAAACAAAAAAACAAUCACAAAAAAACAAUUGGAAGCAAAUUUUCAAGAAAAAUGAGCUUGAUGUUUCAUCUAUGUAUUGUAAUUUCAUUUUUUAUUAGAAGUAUAUUUCAUUUGUGAUUGAAAUGUAUUCGAUAUUGAUUAGAGGUCUUUGUAUCUUGGUUGAAUAAAUGAGAAUGAACAUAUAUUCGUGUUUA